rnacentral:rRNA from 1 species
GUCAGCUCGUGUCGUGAGAUGUUGGGUUAAGUCCCGCAACGAGCGCAACCCUUGCCUUUAGUUGCCAGCAGUUCGGCUGGGCACUCUAAAGGGACUGCCGGUGUUAAACCGGAGGAAGGUGGGGAUGACGUCAAGUCCUCAUGGCCUUUAUGACCAGGGCUACACACGUACUACAAUGGCCGAUACAAAGGGCAGCGACACUGCGAGGUGAAGCCAAUCCCGUAAAAUCGGUCUCAGUCCGGAUUGGAGUCUGCAACUCGACUCCAUGAAGUUGGAAUCGCUAGUAAUCGUAGAUCAGCAUGCCACGGUGAAUACGUUCCCGGGCCUU